rnacentral:tRNA from 1 species
GGAGGGAUGGCAGAGUCCGGCUGAUUGCACCCGCUUGCUAGGCGGGAGGGGUGUACGCCCCCGCAGGUUCGAAUCCUGCUCCCUUCGCCA